AGAAGUUUAGGUUAAAUAAACCAAGGGCCUUCAAAGCCCAUAAUAAGAGCCACCACCCUCCUAACUCCUG
rnacentral:tRNA from 1 species